CCUCUUUCUGUUCCAUUAGUUUGGCAUGAGUUUUCUCCAUGAUGAAUAUGAUCAUGGCAAGAACAUUAAAUAUUUAUUAUAAUCUUUUAUAAAAUGUCAAAGGGAGGUGAGAUUGAGAAGGCGGUGGUGAUCCAAACAUGUAUAGAUUUGAGUUGGAGUGAGAUGAAAUGGAUGCUCAAUGCUUUGCCUAUAAAUCCUGGAGAUGAGAUCAUAUUUCUUGGAGUUCUCCAACUCACUAAUUCUUCUACUUCCUCUUUCCUUUCUGCUGCUAAACUUUUGGGAUACAAGGGCAAAGAGGAUCCACAUGUAAAUGGUUCGAUGAGAAAAUUUAUGGAGGAUGAAAGACGAAAGAAGAAGGAAGAAUACAGUCAAAACUGUGGGAUCAUCAAGCUGCAAGAGAAGCUUCAAUCAGAGAAAAAGGUGAAAGUGAAGGUGGAGGUAGCCGUUUGUACGUCUCGUAGGGUUGGUGCAGUUAGAGCUGUGAAAAGGUUCGGAGCCACUUGUAUGAUUCUAGACAGGGAGAUGAAGAAAGAGAAGCAAUACUUCAUGGAUAGAGUGUCAUGUGGGAUCUCAACUAUGAAGAGCAACAACACCAUUGUUCAACUCCGAGGUCCCAUCAUUCGACAUGUCUCAAACGAUGAGAUGAUACCUUCUUACUCGUGGGAACACAUCUCUCCCACAAGUGAUCAAACCCUUCACACUUCAUCCAUAUAUAGUACUAUUAGUACUAAUUCAACUUCUUGUUCCACAUCAAAGGAAAACAGAACUCCCAAGAAUGAAGCAAAUGGAUUAAUACACAACCACCACAACUUUGUAGCUGAUCCAAUCUGCUCCCAUUGCAACAACCAACGGCCUAGAACCGGGAGCCACAUGGAGUUCAGCUACGAAGAGCUUGAUGAGGCGACAGGCGGCUUCUCAGAGGAGAACUUCAUAUCAGAAGGAGGAUUCGGGCUGGUUUUCAAAGGGAGGCUCAAGGACGGGCGGAAGGUGGCCGUGAAGAAACUCAAGGCCACAAGCCUUCAAGGGGAGAAAGAGUUCAAGAGUGAAGUGCACCUACUGAGCCAAGCAAGGCACCACAAUGUGGUGAUGCUGUUGGGAUCUUGCACGCAGGGAACUCACAGACUCCUCGUCUAUGAGUUCAUCUGCAACGGCUCCUUGGAGGACAACUUGUCGGGCGAAUGCAAGCCUCUCAACUGGGAGCAGAGGAUGAAGAUCGCAAGGGGGGCUGCCAGGGGGCUGGCCUAUCUGCACGAACGCAGCAUUGUGCACCGGGACAUGAGGCCGGGGAACAUACUCAUCACUCAUGACUAUGAAGCACUGUUGGGGGAUUUCGGGCUGGCGAAGGAGGAUGAUGGGACCGGGGCUAACUCGGGUGGGGUAGUGGGGACGCUUGGAUAUGUGGCGCCGGAAUAUGCGGAAUCCGGCAAGAUGUCAGACAAAACAGAUGUGUACUCAUUUGGGGUGGUGCUGUUGCAGCUUAUCACUGGCCUCAGAACUACUGAUGAGAUUCCUGGUGGAAAGAGUCUAGUGGGAUGGAUGACAGGCAAAACCAUUUUUGGAAGCAAAAAACUAUCCAAAACUCAUAGAUUCAAGGAUUUUGGAGUGCCAUGAUGUUCACCAGCUAUUUUGGAUGGUGCUUGCUGCUGACAGCUGUCUCAAACAAGAUCCUCAUCACAGAUUCACUAUGAAACAGGUACUCAAUUACUUGAACUGCAAUAAAGAAGGCAACACCAACUUCAUUAUUGACUUAGAAUGAUACUAUGUGUAUGAAUCUCCAUCUUAAAUUCAAUUAAUAAAUAAAUGUAACAAUUCGACUUAUCUAUAUGGAGUACAUUUAAGUA